GUGGGUGGAAGCUCAUCAUAGAGGUCACAUGCAGGGUGCUUGUCACUCAACCAAUCACCUUGGGGAAGGUCUGAGACAAGAGCCAAUCACUGCCCUAGCAGGGUAUCACCUGACCUGGGUGAGUGAGUGCACAGAGAAUAUGGGCCAUUAUGAGUUGUCUUUACAGGAGAAACCAGCCAGAGCAGCUCUCCAGCACUACUGGUUGAUGUGACCUCACUGGCUUGGAAACACUCAUGGCUGGCAUAUGAGUGCAAUGUGUGAGUUGGAGUACUCCUCCAGAACCCAAUUCAGACUACUCUCUGCCCAC
ensembl:ribozyme RNaseP_nuc Nuclear RNase P